CCAAUAGCGUAUAUUAAAGUUGUUGCAGUUAAAAAGCUCGUAGUUGAAUUUCGGGAUCAGUUGGUCGGUCGUGCCUCGGUACGUACUGGUCAGAUUGAUUCCUACCUUCUGACGAACCACGAUGUCAUUAAUUUGGUGUCGCGGGAAAUCAGGACUGUUACUUUGAAAAAAUUAGAGUGUUUAAAGCAGGCUCGCGCUUGAAUACAUUAGCAUGGAAUAAUGAAAUAGGACGUUUGAUUCUAUUUUGUUGGUUUCUAGGAUCGACGUAAUGAUUAAUAGGGAUAGUUGGGGGCAUUAGUAUUCAAUUGUCAGAGGUGAAAUUCUUGGAUUUAUUGAAGACUAACUACUGCGAAAGCAUUUGCCAAGGAUGUUUUCAUUAAUCAAGAACGAAAGUUAGGGGAUCGAAGACGAUCAGAUACCGUCGUAGUCUUAACCAUAAACUAUGCCGACUAGGGAUCGGAUGAUGUUAAUUUUUUAAUGACUCAUUCGGCGCCUUACG
rnacentral:rRNA from 1 species